rnacentral:lncRNA from 1 species
CCAAGAACAGCUAAAUUUUCAGUGCUGGUGGUGGUUUUCUCUUCCUUCUCGUUCGGUCUCCUCCUCUCCCUCAUUCUCAUCAUUUUCCGGAAACAGUAUCCUUCCUUAUUUGCAGAUAGCGCCGAAGUUGAGAAACUUGUGUACGACCUCACACCAUUGCUGGCAUUUUGUGUUGUCAUCAACAAUAUUCAACCAGCUCUAUCAGGUACAUGCAAUUUAUACGUUUUUCCAUGAUAUCCUAUGAAUUAUGCGUUCGUCAUGAGACAUAAAUAUUAAUAGUGAGAAGUUUAUUUAUAUUACUCUUCUAUUUACGAAUUAGAAAGAUAAUGGCAUGUUUAUGGGCUACAAAUUAGAAAGAAGUAAGAUCUGAUAGUAUUCCAUCGAUAAACAUAUUGGUUGCAGGAGUUGCCAUCGGGGCUGGAUGGCAAGCUAUAGUUGCUUACGUGAAUAUUGCAUGCUAUUACUUGUUUGGCAUCCCUUUGGGGCUCGUAUUGGGAUUUAUCUUCGACAGGGGUGUUCAAGUAAGUUGUCAGUAAAAUAAAGUUCUAUAAUCCAAAACCAUUUACAGUUUCACAAUAACUUUUAUACUGAUGAUUUUUCAGGGCAUCUGGGUUGGAAUGACAAUGGGAACAAUUCUACAAACUAUAGUCCUCUUUUGGCUUGUUUACAGAACUAAUUGGAAGAAAGAGGUUUUAGUUCUUUCGUUUCUGUUUCUUUUUAUUGAGGACUAAGAUUUAAUUAUAUUCAUAAAUAUUUGCAUGAAUCUCUUUCUUUUCUGGUAUGAUGCAGGCUUCUGUUGCGUCACAAAGGAUCAAACGAUGGGGAGGGGAAGUACAAGAUAAAUCAAAUAAUGUAGAGCAAUGAAAAAAUUGUUGUUGAAGAAAAAUACACCUAUUGUAUAAUCAGGAGGAAUUUGGACUUGCUAUACAACUUACCAAAUUGGGUAGAGGACUCAAUUUUAGUCGACUUUUCUCUAAGUUUAUGUCCAAGGGAAAAUCUAAAUUUAUGUUUAAGAGAAAAUCUUUGUAUUUUUUAUUUUUAAUUAUCUUGCUAUUAUUAUUUUCUCUUGCAAUUUUUCUUUUUCAUUUUGUCUUUUCUUACAAUCUUUAGAAUCUUCUAUCAAAAAACUUCGAUACUGACAAAUAGAAGGUUCAAUGAUUUGUUUCUUGAUCUGUAAAGAAGAAUCAUCUUUAUUUCUAUUUAUUAUGGGUAAUAUGCGACUUUCUAUAACAACUAAUUUACCAGUUUCUCGAUUUUCAAAAUAAGUAUUAAUAAAUUCUUUAAAAUUUUCUAUUAAACAAUUGAAGAAGUAUAUUCAUCUAACGGCAUUAAAUAUUAAAAUUUUAAAAACAAUAUGUUUGUAAUGACCUUGUAGCACUUUACAGUUCGGCAAAUUAAUUUUUUCGGAUUAUAAAUUGAUCUUUUUUUUUUUUUUUUUUUAAACUCUAUCUUAACUUUUCUUCUUAACCUCCUAACAGAAGACUCAAGACUAUAACAAAAAAGAUUUUCAUCAUGUUUAAAAAUGUUUAAACAAACUUCCUUAAUUGGUAUACAAAAUUGUUAGGAUUUUUACCAAUCUCCUAUGUCCCAGGAAACAAUGAUCUUCACAGAUUUGCAUGACAAACAGGAGAGAAAAUGCAGCAGAAAUGGUAGAAUAUAAAACUAGCAAAGAACUCAGAUAAAUGGACACUAGAAUAGCUUGUUUUAGGGACUAAAUUUCAUCAACCAAUGCAGGGAAUUUAACCCCCAGUCAAUCUGCCAUUACAAGAGGAAAUAUUACAGUGCUUAUCUUACACAAAACAACACCACUCAUCACCCAACCAGGAAUAACUAGAAAGCUUCCAUAAAGUUUACAAAGAUUGCCUGCAGAGAGCUCUCUCUCUCAAUCCUACUUUCGCUCUCUACAGAAAAUGUGCUCCCCAUAUUUUCUUGCCCACCCCCUUUCACGUAUCAGACCUAGUCCUAUUUAUAGCCACAGAUCAAGAGACUUACAAGAAUAUGUGUGUAAUAUUCAGCUAAAAUCACUACCAGAAAAUUAGUUAGAACCAAAGGCUCCUAACUGAUUUUCUAACUCACUAACUAAUCCAACUAAGGAGUUUAAUAACCGAAUCAAGAAUCAAUAUUUUCUCUACAAUCUCCACCUUUGAGUCUUGAUGAGUGUUGUUAAACCAAGAUUGACUAAAAAAUUUCAAUAACACCCUACAUGAUUGAUCAUCCGGUUUUAACCUUUAGCAAUCCAAUGCUCCAUGCAUCUUGCUAACUGGAUUAUUUUUGGUGAGCAAAACAGCAGAUAAACUUCAGUGGCUACCUUGACAACUUCAACUUCCCUCUUGGAAAUUACUUCUUGCACACAAAAGACUUCAAAUUUCUCCUGCUUGUGGCACUUUGGACAGUCAAGACUUCCUCUAACUUCAGCUUCAUCAUCUGCAUCCUCUUUUUGCAGAUUACCAGAUCCACCUUCUUGUUCAUUUUUCUGGUUAUUUUCUUGUGAUGUGUCCAACACAACCUGCUCCUCUUUGUUUUCAAACAUGGCAGCUUCAUUGACUUUAUUCACCUGCAAAACACAAAGUAGUCCCUUCACCACAACCAAGAAUCCUUUCAUAACAUCUAGUUCUUUACCAAAUAUUUUAUAUUUACAGCUUAGAAACGUGGUACUUUAUGUCCUUAGUCCUAUUUGCUGGAUACUUGAAGAACGCAGAAGUGGCAGUCGAUGUUUUAUCUAUAUGGUGAGUUGAUUUAUUAUUGUCCACACAAUAUACAACUUGCUUAAUUUGUUUUCUUUUUGUGUAAUUAUCUUUGUUUUUAUUUGCUUUUUUUAUUAGUCAUUUUUUUAGAACCGUCAAUUUAGGUGAUAGGAUAAAGUGAUAGCGCAUAACAUUAGAAAAAUUAUUUAUAUUUUAAAAAAUAGAUAUUGUAUUUAUAACUAAUUUAUAUAUGAUAGAAUAGUCACCUAGAGAAAAGAAAUAUAAUCGUGGAAAAAGAAAUUAUGAUAUAUUUAUAUAAUGAAAUGAUGAUAUAUCAUAUUUUAAUCAAAUUCUAUGGAAAUUGGAUUUUUAUUUUUUUGGAAAAUCAAGCUAUAUGGAAAUUUCAUGUUAAGUUAAUAUAAAGUAUUAUUCAUAGGUUUUUUUAUUAGAAUGUAAAAUGUUAACAAGUUUAAAAAAUAAUAGGCACUGGGUUUUAAUCAAGUGGCAUUGAAAAUUACAUAUUGACACAUCAAAAGAUAAUUAAAUUUAACAUAUUGAUUUAGUAUAAAAAUUUAUUUAUCCAGAAUCUAAUAAUUUAGUUAUUUAAUGAACUAGAAAUACUAAUUUCAAGUAAAAUUUCAUUUAAAUUAUCUUAUGACAUAUUCAACACAAUCAAAUAUCUAAGUCAUUUUUAAGUUAUCUUAAUAAUUUACUGCCUUGAAAUUUUUAUUAUAUUGUAAAUCUUUUAGAUAAAAUCUAACUUUACUUCUACGUUUUGUUUCUUGGAUAAUUUAAUUAAAGUUUCAUAACGAUUUUAAUAUUUUAGAAGUUUAAUUUUGUUGUGUGAUUGAAUUUUAAAAUUAUACCUUGUCACUUUUUUUUCUCGAAGAUCUUCUUUCUUUGUUUCGCUUUUAACACGAAAUUUUUGUGCAGAAAUAUUUCUCAUACCACUUUUCAAUGAAAUAACUCUAAAAUGAUUUUUUACGACGAACAUCUUUAGCAUUUAAAGUGAAACUUGUAGCAUAUACUACCAAUUUGGAAAGAUUUCAAUCUUAUUUCUGUAGAAUUUAAAAUGUAGUAUACAAAAGAUUAUUACACUACAAUGCGGAAUAAUAAACUAUCAAAGUGUAAAAUUGAACAAAAAACGACCCAAAGCUUCUUUAACACCACCAAUGAAGUGUUAUUGAUGUUGAGCUUAGAUUUGUGUCACACCGAAUCAUGCAUCGUCGUCCACGGGAAUAAUAAUGGAUAUAUCGAGAAAGAAUCCGUCGGAAGCCACCAAGAAUUUCGCUGGAGUUAUGGAAAGCUCCCACUUGGUUACCUCUUUAUUCUCUCUCUCUCUCAAAUAUUAUGCCAAGUCCAAGUAUGAGAGAAUCAAGAGGUCUUGUAAUUAUAGAGCCAAUUCAUUUGAAUUCAAAAUUCAAAUAUUGUAUUAUGGUCAAGAGAAUGACAACACUAGUAUAGGUAAUUGACCACAAGAUUAAAUCCAAUGAUUGGAUUUAAUUUAUGAUCCAUAUUACUCCAUAACUAAUACAAUUCAAGUCACAUUCUCUAGAUCAAUCAACUUGCACCAAUAAUAGGAUGUGAUCCACCUUACAAUUUCUUAUCACAUAAACUCGUCGUUACAGAUUGUCAAUGUUUUUUCUAAUCUUAUCAUUCCCCCUUUCCUUAAGUUCGAUAUAUGAUUGCUAAUGUAUUUUAAAUCAAAAUUUAGUCGGAACAAAGGUGGUUUUUUUAUGUUGUUUAUUAGAUUGUUGCUGUACAAGUCCAUUUUAUGAUUGCUGAAACAAAUUAAUUUCAAUUUUACAGCACGAACAUAGUGGGAUGGGCUGUCAUGGUAGCCAUGGGAUUUAAUGCAGCAAUAAGGUUAUUUUUGCCUCAAUCUAAUUGUAUCCUCUUUUACUUUGGAAAUUUACCUUUUCUACAGAUAUAAUCGAAGAACACUUUUUCUUGUAUACAGGAUCAUAAAUUUUUAUGUUGGUAGCAAAGUUUAACAUACAGAUGAAUAUUAAUGUAUCAUGCAGUGUAAGAGUGUCAAAUGAACUUGGCGCCGCUCAUCCAAGAACAGCUAAAUUUUCAGUGCUGGUGGUGGUUUUCUCUUCCUUCUCGUUCGGUCUCCUCCUCUCCCUCAUUCUCAUCAUUUUCCGGAAACAGUAUCCUUCCUUAUUUGCAGAUAGCGCCGAAGUUGAGAAACUUGUGUACGACCUCACACCAUUGCUGGCAUUUUGUGUUGUCAUCAACAAUAUUCAACCAGCUCUAUCAGGUACAUGCAAUUUAUACGUUUUUCCAUGAUAUCCUAUGAAUUAUGCGUUCGUCAUGAGACAUAAAUAUUAAUAGUGAGAAGUUUAUUUAUAUUACUCUUCUAUUUACGAAUUAGAAAGAUAAUGGCAUGUUUAUGGGCUACAAAUUAGAAAGAAGUAAGAUCUGAUAGUAUUCCAUCGAUAAACAUAUUGGUUGCAGGAGUUGCCAUCGGGGCUGGAUGGCAAGCUAUAGUUGCUUACGUGAAUAUUGCAUGCUAUUACUUGUUU